ensembl:lncRNA
GUCGCACCUCUCAGGCAGAUGUUCAGACACUGCCGCAACACGAGGGAAAGAGAGAGAGGGAGGAAGGGAGAGGUGGAGAGAGAGAGGGAGGAAUGGAGAGGUGGAGAGAGGAAUGGAGAGGUGGAGAGAGGGAGGGAGGAAUGGAGAGGUGGAGAGAGAGAGGGAAGAAGGGAGAGGUGGAGAGAGAGAGGGAGGAAGGGAGAGGUGGAGAGAGAGAGGCAGGGAGAGGUGGAGAGAGAGAGGGAGGAAGGGAGAGGUGGAGAGAGAGAGGGAAGAAGGGAGAGGUGGAGAGAGAGAGGGAGGAAGGGAGAGGUGGAGAGAGAGAGGCAGGGAGAGGUGGAGAGAGAGAGGGAGGAUGGGAG